rnacentral:rRNA from 1 species
CGGGGUAGAGUAACGCGUGAGGAACCUGCCUCAAAGAGGGGGACAACAGUUGGAAACGGCUGCUAAUACCGCAUAAGCCCACGGCUCGGCAUCGAGCAGAGGGAAAAGGAGCAAUCCGCUUUGAGAUGGCCUCGCGUCCGAUUAGCUAGUUGGUGAGGUAAUGGCCCACCAAGGCAACGAUCGGUAGCCGGACUGAGAGGUUGAACGGCCACAUUGGGACUGAGACACGGCCCAG